ACGCUGGCGGCAGGCCUAACACAUGCAAGUCGAACGGUAACAGGAUGUGCUUGCACAUCGCUGACGAGUGGCGGACGGGUGAGUAAUGCUUGGGAACUUGCCUUUGCGAGGGGGAUAACAGUUGGAAACGACUGCUAAUACCGCAUAAUGUCUUCGGACCAAACGGGGCUUAGGCUCCGGCGCAAAGAGAGGCCCAAGUGAGAUUAGCUAGUUGGUAAGGUAACGGCUUACCAAGGCGACGAUCUCUAGCUGUUCUGAGAGGAAGAUCAGCCACACUGGGACUGAGACACGGCCCAGACUCCUACGGGAGGCAGCAGUGGGGAAUAUUGCACAAUGGGGGAAACCCUGAUGCAGCCAUGCCGCGUGUGUGAAGAAGGCCUUCGGGUUGUAAAGCACUUUCAGUUGUGAGGAAAAGUUAGUAGUUAAUACCUGCUAGCCGUGACGUUAACAACAGAAGAAGCACCGGCUAACUCCGUGCCAGCAGCCGCGGUAAUACGGAGGGUGCGAGCGUUAAUCGGAAUUACUGGGCGUAAAGCGCACGCAGGCGGUUUGUUAAGCUAGAUGUGAAAGCCCCGGGCUCAACCUGGGAUGGUCAUUUAGAACUGGCAGACUAAAGUCUUGGAGAGGGGAGU
rnacentral:rRNA from 1 species